CCUGGCGCCGCAUUGCAUCAAAAGGAUUGUCAUAAACCUCCUCUGGCUCUGCAUAGACGUGCUCAUCACUGUCAGAAUCAGGUUGGAAUCCAGGGUUGUUUUUACCUCCAGAAGCCAUGAAUGAAUUAGGAGCCAAGCAACUGCUCAACAAAUUACCAAAGAGGAGAGCUAGGGCUGGAAAGCUGGCACACGUCAGGUGUUACAGAGCAAUGCAAGGAGCUUCAAAUAUUCUCCAACUGCUAGAAUCUUUAAAAAUCGCACAUCAGAUAACACACCCAGUAGGUUCCAGGCUCUUUUUUGAGGUCACACUAGGGCGCAGGGUGGUUGAUGCAAUUAUAGUGGUUUUCUCAGAAAGUAGUCCUCACAUCCACUGUUUUUUGAUAGAGCUAAAGACAUGUAAAAUCAAUUUCUUCAACCAGCACAGUACCACCAGAGAAGCACAAAAGGUAGAGGGUAGCAACCAGCUGAGGGACUCUGCCAAGGCGCUAGCAGUUCUAGCUCCAGUUGGAACUGACCCCUGCAGAGUCACCGCACACCUGAUAUUUAAGAGCCAGCGGGGUCUGAACACUUUAAAAAGUUAUACACUGAACUGGAUGACUCACACUGUAAACACUCAAAAAGUUGCACUUUUGAACUUUCUGGGGUUGCGUGCGGACAAUGAAUUAAGAGCUUGUUUAACUAGGGGACUCCCCCCUGCCAAUUCCCCUGGAAGCAGGAGGCACCAUGUUUGUUUACCUGAACCCAAACCCCAAAAACACCUUAAGAAUAGACGCGGAGGCGCUCACAGAAACCAGAAGGCUCGCCGCCAGGGCGUGGGACCUAAAGUAUCAAAUGACAAAACAAGGAAUGCACCAACGCAUGCUGAGGGCCGAGCUGGAUAACCUGGAAAUCCUAGAAAGGGGGCAUUCUGCGGCUUUGACCACAAAUCUGAGCUUACUGGCAAAUGUCCUGCUCGACCAACCGGCCCCGCCCGAUCCAACACAGGGUGAAGAAAAGGGCCUUCCCCCUUCCAGUCGGGUGGAGUCCAGAACAGAGGGUGUCUACACUGUAACUGUAUACCCGGGAGAUCCCGCCUUUGAAAUACAGGAUAGUCUACCCCAGAAAAUAUGGCCAAUGCUCUACCUCCAUCAGCAGAGGUGGCUGCCCUCUUACGGCCCGUGGCACAUCAGGUUUACCUCUUCCGCCAUGCAGCUCAGAAAUUUUCCACGUUCCCUCCGUGGCCAGGCAAAUUUUCAAAACUCCAUGUCCCUCAAACUCAUCACUGCACUUACUGACGUCAUCUCCAGGAUCUCCCUAGACUUUUACUCAGACCUGAGACAUUUGAGUGAUACCAUGUCCGCCCUGUGUCUCAUAGCAGCUUACUACAGUGAAAAAAAUCAAACACCUCUACCCACUAACCUCCCAGAACUGCUAGGGAAUAUCACAGCAAAGGUGACCCUCCUGGUUAGGGACCUGAAGAGGGCAGCGGCAAAUAAAGGGUUUAAUUUCAAUAGAAACUCUUCUUCUCUGUUACCUGCCCAGGGCGGCCUUUACAGUAAUGAUUUUUUUCAGGAGCACGCGCUGUAUUCUCUGUUUAGAACAGCGGGGAUGUUGGCAAGUUCAAGCUCGCCCGAGUAUCCCAGGGCAGAUUCUGUGCUCGCCAUCACGGCGGCCGUGUUUGGUGACAACAUCCCUCCCUUUGCUGCCUAUCAGUGGAACCUUCGCAGUGGUCUCAAGGCGCUCGAGUCACUCAUCCUACUGUUUCUACUCUUGGACGUGAACGUCCCAGCCACCUCCAACAAGAGGCUACACCUGGAGGCUUUGUUGGGGGAGUCUUACAGUAAGGGGUCCCGUCCCCCAGCCCGCCGCACCGGUCCACUAGACGCUGGAGGCUCAGUCUUCAGCUUUCUCAUGGAAAACUAUCUAGUGCCCACUCUACUACACCGCCCCACCACCAACAUGUCCGCCCUCUUUCCAGGCCUCUACCUCCUCCAGCUGGAGUUUAGCUCAGGAGCCUCCACCCCCCACGCCAUUCACUUAACAGACGUGAAGUUUAGGGACAUUUUCAAUAUCCUGGUGCAAUCUAAUGUUUUUCAAGAUUCCCAGGAACUGAUCAGGGCCAAACAGUCCCUGAGAGUCAGCUGUGAAACAGGCAGUGGGAAUCUCCUGGAAAGCCUCUCCCCGGGGACCACCAUGCGAGACAUCAUCAGAAAAGAAUUCAUGGCACAAGAUGUUUAUGAUUAUGUUUAUUUUUGUGUGUUGGGGGCACUUCCUGUUACAGUGGCCGUGGUGUAAGAAAUAAAGCUGUUGUUAAAAGUAAACAA
rnacentral:tmRNA from 1 species